rnacentral:rRNA from 1 species
AUGAACGCUGGCGGCGUGCCUAAUACAUGCAAGUCGAGCGAACGGACGAGAAGCUUGCUUCUCUGAUGUUAGCGGCGGACGGGUGAGUAACACGUGGAUAACCUACCUAUAAGACUGGGAUAACUUCGGGAAACCGGAGCUAAUACCGGAUAAUAUUUUGAACCGCAUGGUUCAAAAGUGAAAGACGGUCUUGCCGUCACCUAUAGAUGGAUCCGCGCUGCAUUAGCUAGUUGGUAAGGUAACGGCUUACCAAGGCAACGAUGCAUAGCCGACCUGAGAGGGUGAUCGGCCACACUGGAACUGAGACACGGUCCAGACUCCUACGGGAGGCAGCAGUAGGGAAUCUUCCGCAAUGGGCGAAAGCCUGACGGAGCAACGCCGCGUGAGUGAUGAAGGUCUUCGGAUCGUAAAACUCUGUUAUUAGGGAAGAACAUAUGUGUAAGUAACUGUGCACAUCUUGACGGUACCUAAUCAGAAAGCCGCGGCUAACUACGUG